AAGGAUUUAAGUUAAGUAAAACUUGUAGCCUUCAAAGCUUCGAAUAAAGAAUAAACUUUAAGCCUUA
rnacentral:tRNA from 1 species